AUUGAACGCUGGCGGCAGGCCUAACACAUGCAAGUCGAACGAGUGGCGGACGGGUGAGUAAUGUAUGGGGAUCUGCCCGAUAGAGGGGGAUAACUACUGGAAACGGUGGCUAAUACCGCAUACCAUCAGAUGAACCCAUAUGGGAUUAGCUGGUAGGUAAGGUAACGGCUUACCUAGGCGACGAUCCCUAGCUGGUCUGAGAGGAUGAUCAGCCACACUGGGACUGAGACACGGCCCAGACUCCUACGGGAGGCAGCAGUGGGGAAUAUUGCACAAUGGGCGCAAGCCUGAUGCAGCCAUGCCGCGUGUAUGAAGAAGGCCUUCGGGUUGUAAAGUACUUUCAGUCGGGAGGCGUUACCGACAGAAGAAGCACCGGCUAACUCCGUGCCAGCAGCCGCGGUAAUAC
rnacentral:rRNA from 1 species